rnacentral:rRNA from 1 species
GAUGAACGCUGGCGGCGUGCCUAAUACAUGCAAGUCGAGCGAAUGGAUUAAGAGCUUGCUCUUAUGAAGUUAGCGGCGGACGGGUGAGUAACACGUGGGUAACCUGCCCAUAAGACUGGGAUAACUCCGGGAAACCGGGGCUAAUACCGGAUAACAUUUUGAACUGCAUGGUUCGAAAUUGAAAGGAGGCUUCGGCUGUCACUUAUGGAUGGACCCGCGUCGCAUUAGCUAGUUGGUGAGGUAACGGCUAACCAAGGCAACGAUGCGUAGCCGACCUGAGAGGGUGAUCGGCCACACUGGGACUGAGACACGGCCCAGACUCCUACGGGAGGCAGCAGUAGGGAAUCUUCCGCAAUGGACGAAAGUCUGACGGAGCAACGCCGCGUGAGUGAUGAAGGCUUUCGGGUCGUAAAACUCUGUUGUUAGGGAAGAACAAGUGCUAGUUGAAUAAGCUGGCACCUUGACGGUACCUAACCAGAAAGCCACGGCUAACUACGUGCCAGCCGCCGCAGUAA